rnacentral:rRNA from 1 species
UACGUAGGGGGCAAGCGUUGUCCGGAUUUAUUGGGCGUAAAGAGCGUGUAGGCGGCCCGACAGGUCCGUUGUGAAAACUCGAGGCUCAACCUCGAGACGUCGAUGGAAACCGUCGGGCUAGAGUGCGGAAGAGGCGAGUGGAAUUCCUGGUGUAGCGGUGAAAUGCGCAGAUAUCAGGAGGAACACCUAUUGCGAAGGCAGCUCGGUGGGACGUAACUGACGCUGAGACGCGAAAGCGUGGGGAGCAAACAGG